rnacentral:rRNA from 1 species
CAGUAGCGUAUAUUAAAGUUGUUGCAGUUAAAAUGCUCGUAGUUGAAGUUCGGAUGCAGCAGAGCUUGGAAACGCUGUUAUGGUGCUUCCGUUGCUUUAGCUUGUCCACAGUGCGUUGCAAGUACGUAUGUGCUUGUGCGUGCAUUUUACUUUGAGAAACAUAGGGUGUUCCACGCAUGUUACGGCAUGAAUAUUCCAGCAUGGGAUAAUCUGGUACGACUUCCAAUCUGCCAUUUUGGUUCGUAGGUUGGAAGUAAUGAUUAAUAGGGACUGUCGGGGGCAUUGGUAUUUGACUGUCAGAGGUGAAAUUCUUAGAUUCGUUGAGGACCAACCACUGCGAAAGCAUUUGUCAAGGAUGUCUCCAUUAA